AGCAAUUAUCAAAUAAAGCUGCAUUUAUUGAAGACACAAUUAGGUAAGCAUCUAGAGCAGUAUUUCUCAAUCUUGAAAACUUUAGGAUAUGUUGACUUCAACUCCCAGAAUUGCCCAGCUAGUUGAAGUCCACUCAUCUUUAAGCUGCCAAGAAUGGAAACAAGAGUUAUGAUUGUGCAGUAUUGGGCUGAAUUGAGAAGACUAUAGGAUCCUGCAACUCCACAGAUAUCGACCCAACUGUAAAUUCAUCUGAGUCUGUAAAUUAAAUCCCAUGUAUCAGAUGGAAAGUCAGCUUCUCAUGUAAUACAUAGACAUAAAGAAGAAAAACAAA